rnacentral:rRNA from 1 species
CGGAGUGGCGAACGGGUGAGUAAUACAUCGGAACAUGUCCUGUAGUGGGGGAUAGCCCGGCGAAAGCCGGAUUAAUACCGCAUACGACCUACGGAUGAAAGCGGGGGACCUUCGGGCCUCGCGCUAUAGGGUUGGCCGAUGGCUGAUUAGCUAGUUGGUGGGGUAAAGGCCUACCAAGGCGACGAUCAGUAGCUGGUCUGAGAGGACGACCAGCCACACUGGGACUGAGACACGGCCCAG